AACGAACGCUGGCGGCAGGCCUAACACAUGCAAGUCGAGCGCUACCUUCGGGUGGAGCGGCGGACGGGUUAGUAACGCGUGGGAACGUGCCCUCCUCUACGGAAUAGCCAUUGGAAACGAUGAGUAAUACCGUAUAAGCCCUUCGGGGGAAAGAUUUAUCGCCAAAGGAUUAGCCCGCGUUAGAUUAGGUAGUUGGUGGGGUAAUGGCCUACCAAGCCUACGAUCUAUAGCUGGUUUUAGAGGAUGAUCAGCAACACUGGGACUGAGACACGGCCCAGACUCCUACGGGAGGCAGCAGUGGGGAAUCUUGGACAAUGGGGGCAACCCUGAUCCAGCCAUGCCGCGUGAGUGAUGAAGGCCUUAGGGUCGUAAAGCUCUUUCGCCUGUGAAGAUAAUGACGGUGCAGGUAAAGAACCCCGGCUAACUCCGUGCCAGCCGCCGCGGUAAU
rnacentral:rRNA from 1 species